rnacentral:rRNA from 1 species
UACGGGGGGGGGCAAGCGUUGUUCGGAAUUACUGGGCGUAAAGGGCUCGUAGGCGGCCAACUAAGUCGGACGUGAAAUCCCCAGGCUCAACCUGGGAACUGCGUCCGAUACUGGAUGGCUUGAAUCCGGGAGAGGGAUGCAGAAUUCCAGGUGUAGCGGUGAAAUGCGUAGAUAUCGAGAGGAACACCUGCGGCGAAGGCGGGUUGCUGGGCUGACACUGACGCUGAGGCGCGAAAGCGUGGGGAGCAAACAGG